AGGAAUGCAUCGGAAUCUACCCUAGGGUGGGGGAUAACACAGGGAAACUUGUGCUAAUACCGCAUGAUGUCGAGAGACCAAAGCGGGGGACCGAAAGGCCUCGCGCGCUAGGAUGAGCCGAUGCCCGAUUAGCUAGUUGGUAGGGUAAUGGCCUACCAAGGCGACGAUCGGUAGCUGGUCUGAGAGGAUGAUCAGCCACACUGGGACUGAGACACGGCCCAG
rnacentral:rRNA from 1 species